rnacentral:lncRNA from 1 species
GACUCCCUUUUUUUUAUAUAUACGAUUACUUUUCUUCAGGCAUCCUCCCUAUGGCCAUUUUGCCCUCCUCUCCUUGAACAAUCGAUCUGGCCCACUGUACCGUUCGGCCCAUCCGGUCCUUGGGUAUGAACUACUUUUUAGGACUACUUUUGAUCUCCCACUAAAAAAGAAAAAAUUCUUCAACAGUUGCUUCUUUCCAGGCUUCUUCCGUACGGCCAUUUUGACCUUCCUCCUUCGAAUGUCCGAGCUUAUACUUGUAGGAAAAUGCACUUACUCUUCCGUACGGUCCAUCCGUCCCUCGGGUAUGAAACUUUAUUUUUAUUUUUAUUUUGGAAAUAUUUUUAAUUUCCCGCCAAAAG